UACGGAGGGUGCAAGCGUUAUCCGGAUUCACUGGGUUUAAAGGGUGCGUAGGUGGGUAGGAAAGUCAGUGGUGAAAUCUUCGGGCUUAACCUGGAAACUGCCAUUGAUACUAUUUAUCUUGAAUACUUUGGAGGUAAGCGGAAUAUGUCAUGUAGCGGUGAAAUGCUUAGAUAUGACAUAGAACACCAAUUGCGAAGGCAGCUUACUACACAGUUAUUGACACUGAGGCACGAAAGCGUGGGGAUCAAACAGG
rnacentral:rRNA from 1 species